rnacentral:RNase_P_RNA from 1 species
AGAGUGCAUUGAACAAUCGCGUGCGAACAUUGAAAAGUGUCGUAUGAGGAAAGUCCGAGCUCCAUUGAAAGAAUAGCGGCCAACGACCGCCGAGGGUGACCUUAGGGAAAGUGCGACAGAAAGUAACCGCUUAAUUUAUUAAGUAAGGGUGGAAAGGCGAGGUAAAAGCUCACCGGUGCUUAGGAGACUAUGCAGCCACGCAAACCCUAUUCGGAGCAACACCGUGGUAAGUAGUUUAACGAUUGCUUGUGGAGGUGGCAUCGAGCUAAUAUGGCAACAUUUAGCCAAGAUGGAUGAUUGUUUUCGACAGAAUUCGGCUUAUAGAUGCACUCUAAAA